GUCCACGCCGUAAACGAUGGGCACUAGGUCCUUGGGGGAGCGACCCCCUGAGGGCCGGCGCUAACGCAUUAAGUGCCCCGCCUGGGGAGUACGGCCGCAAGGCUGAAACUCAAAAGGAAUUGACGGGGCCCGCACAAGCGGUGGAGCAUGUGGUUUAAUUCGACGCAACGCGAAGAACCUUACCUGGGCUUGACAUGCACGGGAACUCGUGGGGAAAACCUGCGGGGCUCUUCGGAGCUCGUGCACAGGUGCUGCAUGGCUGUCGU
rnacentral:rRNA from 1 species